ACCUGGCCAGCGUGGCUCCGUGGUUGAGUGACUACCUAUGAACCAAGAAGUCAUGGUUUGAUUCCUGGUCAGGGCACAUGCCCGGGUUGUGGGCUCAAU